rnacentral:rRNA from 1 species
AGGACAAACGCUGGCGGGGUGCAUGAGACAUGCAAGUCGAACGAGGUGCCCACGAGCUUGCUCGAGGGUUACCUAGUGGCGGACGGCUGAGUAACGCGUAGGUGACCUACCCGGAAGUGGGGAAUAACUGCCCGAAAGGGUGGCUAAUACCGCAUGUGGUCGGCGAUUCGAUUCGCCGUCUAAAGGAGUAAUCCGCUUCCGGCGGGGCCUGCGUCCGAUUAGCUAGUUGGUGAGGUAACGGCCCACCAAGGCGACGAUCGGUAGCUGGUCUGAGAGGAUGAUCAGCCAGACUGGGACUGAGACACGGCCCAGACUCCUACGGGAGGCAGCAGUCGGGAAUUUUGCCCAAUGAGCGAAAGCUUGAGGCAGCAACUCCGCGUGAGGGAUGAAGGCUCUAGGGUCGUAAACCUCUUUUCUCAGGGAAGAUACAAGACGGUACCUGAGGAAUAAGCGACGGCUAACUACGUGCCAGCAGCCGC